rnacentral:lncRNA from 1 species
UUGAACCUAGGGUUUAACUGCUAUCCGGUGGCUCGAUCCUCACUCAGUGGAUGUUUUGGGUGACUUUCCGACAUCCCUGACCAUAUUUCCAGUAAAGUUUUCGAAGGUUACACCUAGGGUUUUGUACCUAGGUUUUUCUCUGUUGAUUGAAGGCCGAUCUUCUCCGGUCGCGAAUAAGGAGGGUAACUCUGUCCUUAUCUUGAGUAUUAUAUGCUUUAUGUGUGAUUAUCUGGCUCCGUAUGUGAGUAUCUGGUUUUGUGUGUGAAUAUCUCGUUUGGUUAUACUCUGCUUGUUGAAACUGUUUUUUUUAAGUCGGUUCAUUGAUUAUGGCUUCUAAUACGAAUGCUGGUACCUCCUCCUCGGUAGACUCUACUAGCCCCCUCUUUGUAUACUCCUCUGAUGUCCCUGGGGUCUCUUUUAUCCCCACUCCCUUCUCGGAAAGUGGUUAUGGGGGUUGGAGGAGAAAAAUGAUUGUUGCAUUAUCUGCUAAAAACAAAAUUGGN